AACGUAGGACACAAGCGUUAUCCGGAAUCACUGGGCGUAAAGCGCACGUAGGCGGAUCGUUAAGUCAGGGGUGAAAUCCUGGAGCUCAACUCCAGAACUGCCUUUGAUACUGGCGAUCUUGAGUUCGGGAGAGGUGAGUGGAACUCCGAGUGUAGAGGUGAAAUUCGUAGAUAUUCGCAAGAACACCAGUGGCGAAGGCGGCUCACUGGCCCGGUACUGACGCUGAGGUGCGAAAGCGUGGGGAGCAAACAGGG
rnacentral:rRNA from 1 species